CACAAAGGCGGCAACAACAUCUCCACCUGCUCACUCCUCUUGCCUAAUAAAAAUAGCUUAUAUGCUCAAUGUCAACAUGCCAAAGCUAUUGUCUUCUUAUGAGAAAUACAUAUAUUCGUUUAAAACUCAUUAAGACCUAAAUACUAAUUGUCACUCAUUUUAUAGUUAUUUUUACAAGUCUUCAUAUAUUUAUUUUAAAGGUCCAGUAAAAACAACAAGUUUAAAAGAAAAAAAACAUAUAACCAACAUAAUAAAAAUAAAAAAAAAUAUUACUUAAUACACACAACUUACACAACUAAACUGGAGAAAAAAUAUCCAGAAACAAAAGGUACUCUCAACAACCU
rnacentral:lncRNA from 1 species